GGGCUUAACACAUGCAAGUCGAGGGGCAGCAUUUUCUUUUGCUUGCAAACUGAAGAUGGCGACCGGCGCACGGGUGAGUAACACGUAUCCAACCUGCCGAUAACUCCGGGAUAGCCUUUCGAAAGAAAGAUUAAUACCGGAUAGUAUACGAAUAUCGCAUGAUAUUUUUAUUAAAGAAUUUCGGUUAUCGAUGGGGAUGCGUUCCAUUAGUUUGUUGGCGGGGUAACGGCCCACCAAGACUACGAUGGAUAGGGGUUCUGAGAGGAAGGUCCCCCACAUUGGAACUGAGACACGGUCCAAACUCCUACGGGAGGCAGCAGUGAGGAAUAUUGGUCAAUGGGCGCGAGCCUGAACCAGCCAAGUAGCGUGAAGGAUGAAGGCUCUAUGGGUCGUAAACUUCUUUUAUAUGGGAAUAAAGUUUUCCACGUGUGGAAUUUUGUAUGUACCAUAUGAAUAAGGAUCGGCUAACUCCGUGCCAGCAGCCGCGGUAAUACGGAGGAUCCGAGCGUUAUCCGGAUUUAUUGGGUUUAAAGGGAGCGUAGGUGGAUUGUUAAGUCAGUUGUGAAAGUUUGCGGCUCAACCGUAAAAUUGCAGUUGAAACUGGCAGUCUUGAGUACAGUAGAGGUGGGCGGAAUUCGUGGUGUAGCGGUGAAAUGCUUAGAUAAUCACGAAGAACUCCGAUUGCGAAAGCAGCUCACUAGACUGUCACUGACACUGAUGCUCGAAAGUGUGGGUAUCAAACAGGAUUAGAUACCCUGGUAGUCCACACAGUAAACGAUGAAUACUCGCUGUUUGCGAUAUACAGUAAGCGGCCAAGCGAAAGCAUUAAGUAUUCCACCUGGGGAGUACGCCGGCAACGGUGAAACUCAAAGGAAUUGACGGGGGCCCGCACAAGCGGAGGAACAUGUGGUUUAAUUCGAUGAUACGCGAGGAACCUUACCCGGGCUUAAAUUGCAACAGAAUAUAUUGGAAACAGUAUAGCCGUAAGGCUGUUGUGAAGGUGCUGCAUGGUUGUCGUCAGCUCGUGCCGUGAGGUGUCGGCUUAAGUGCCAUAACGAGCGCAACCCUUAUCUUUAGUUACUAACAGGUUAUGCUGAGGACUCUAGAGAGACUGCCGUCGUAAGAUGUGAGGAAGGUGGGGAUGACGUCAAAUCAGCACGGCCCUUACGUCCGGGGCUACACACGUGUUACAAUGGGGGGUACAGAAGGCGGCUACCUGGUGACAGGAUGCUAAUCCCAAAAACCUCUCUCAGUUCGGAUCGAAGUCUGCAACCCGACUUCGUGAAGCUGGAUUCGCUAGUAAUCGCGCAUCAGCCAUGGCGCGGUGAAUACGUUCCCGGGCCUUGUACACACCGCCCGUCAAGCCAUGAAAGCCGGGGGUACCUGAAGUACGUAACCGCAAGGAGCGUCCUAGGGUAAAACUGGUAAUUGG
rnacentral:rRNA from 1 species